rnacentral:rRNA from 1 species
CACGUAGGGCGCAAGCGUUGUCCGGAAUUAUUGGGCGUAAAGAGCUCGUAGGCGGUCUGUUGCGUCCGCUGUGAAAACUCGGGGCUUAACCCCGAGCCUGCAGUGGAUACGGGCAGACUAGAGGUAGGUAGGGGAGAAUGGAAUUCCCGGUGUAGCGGUGAAAUGCGCAGAUAUCGGGAGGAACACCGGUGGCGAAGGCGGUUCUCUGGGCCUUACCUGACGCUGAGGCGCGAAAGCCAGGGGAGCGAACGGG